GGGCCUGUAGUUUAACCUGGAUAGAACAGACGGCUUCGGACCGUCGGAUCAGGGUUCGAAUCCCUGCAGGCCCA
rnacentral:tRNA from 1 species